AUAUCCCUGCGGUGCACGUUGGAGAUUUUGAUAAUUAUUGAACCAACACUAUUUUCAAGGGAGCCACGCUUCUUUAGGCACAUGUGUUUAAAGAGAGGCACCCACCUGAAAGCAAACCGGUUCAGACUAUCUAUCCAACGGCACUUCUGCGGGGAUUUU
rnacentral:other from 1 species